CUCUGUACUUUCUAUGUAUGUCGACUCGCUUACAACUUAGGUCGUAUGGCUCUCUUCAUUCCAACUGGAUCAUCCCAUCCCUUAGGUAGAUAGAGAGAGAGAGAGAGAGAGAGAGAGAGAGAGAGAGAGUGCAUAGCUUAGUUAGUUCACGCACUCAGGUUAGCUUUCUCAGCCGUUGGCCCACUCAUGGAUUCGUCACUACGAGUCGAUGUCCCGCAUCCAGUUGAAUUGUGAGAAUGUCACUUGCGUACGUCAACGAACGUUGAACUGUCAUCUCUGGAAUGAAACUAGCGUUAACAACUUGACACUGACUACUGGACCUAGUUAUGAUCUUCUUGCAUUUCUAAAAAUUGGUUUCUCGACUGGCAUGAACAGCGACAAUAAUGUGGUCGUUCUGUGAACAUUGAACAAGAGACAUUCAAUAGUAGAUGGUCUGGGAGUCUAGAGCACAGACAUGUUGAAACAUGAUGUCGUUUAUUCUCCUUCUCAACUCAUACAAAUAGAGUAUAUUCCCAAUAUCGCUAGAUUAUCACCAACAAGACUAGCUGAGUCAGUGUCGAUGCACUCUUAGACCAUGUUGUCUGCUGAGUUAUGACUAUGAGCAACUUCAAUGGUCCACUAAGCAGUGGCCACUUUUCUGUUCUAGCCCUCGGCUGGCCUAGAGGAGAAUGCUAAGGAGGUUACAUGAGGGGAACAACCCAGCGAACAGUAUGAGCUUGCAUACAAAGCACAUACGGUUCGUGACUGGAGUUAUCUUGUUCCUGCAGAUAGUAAUAAUACAGUCACUUCACUAAAGAGCCCGUGGAACCAACAAACACCGGGCCAUACACCGUAGAAGACAAACUUCGAUAGCACGUCGGGACGUGACUACUACUUGUGUAUCAGUACAUGAAGGAGAAUGAGAUGUAUCAACUUGUCUGACUUUGGAACUCGUACUCAUGAAUGCUCCAUGAACCAUGGAAAAGGAUUCACCAAGUAUGUACGUACCGGUUUUCUGUCAAAAGAAGACCCACUAUAACUGUCCCAGACACACAUACUCUGACCGAUUCAAGAGUCUCAAAAUUAAGGCUUUCUAAGUUUGCUCCGUAUAUAGCGGGUCAUUGAGCGGCCCGUAUGUCAAUAAAGCCAUACUCCGUGGUCUCUACGGAGUACAAUGGGUAUGGCCCGCAUGGAUGCUCCAAUGGUGUUUCGGUCAUACUCUACGAUGAACGAAGGAGCGCGAAAAGAUCUCAAGGUCGGAUGUGACUGGGCAUGAAAUAAACUUGAACUUGUAUUUUUGGUCCAGUCAUGUCCCGUCAUUAUUUAUUUUCAUUUCUGGAUUAACGAACCAAAUUGCCUCAAUCCGGGAUUCUCUUGAUUGUUCAGAUUUUCAUCGUCAUAUGGUAUCGUACAUGCCGACUUACUCCUGUACACGCAUAACAGAUGACGCUGUCACUGCCGCCGUGGCGUUGAACACAAACCGGAACAGUUGACAACUAACGGCGCCUUCAAACUCUGGGUAAGGGACGGUAGGAUUCCGGACUCAGCUGAAAGAAGAAACAAGGAUUGCCACUCUGGCUGUUUGAGGCAAGGACUGGUGUUGGCGAGCUGAAUCGGCUACACGGAAAUGAUAUCCGGCAUUGUUUACUCUAAAGUUUCUGUUUCCUUUGUCUAUGUAUCAUGCCGCAAG
rnacentral:lncRNA from 1 species